CGGAAGUCCGGAGCUGUUUUCUGGAAAGCGAAUUCCCCCGGAAUCAAAAUAGGGCUGGCGCACUUCCUGCGGCGACACUACCCCGGAUUGCUUCGGAAUCUUCUGCGGAAAUGGGAUGGCUCGCAGCGAAUCCGUGGACGAGGGUUUGUAGGCCGCUCACCGACUUCCGGACGCAGCGUGUGAGGGGGUGUUGGAGGCGCUGGACGCGCGCAUGUUCCGAGCGCUCCCUCCUAGUGGGCCGCGCGUGCCCUGUGCCGCUCCGCCCCGUAAUUACUCCAGUAAUGGGUGCUGAUUGGAGCGGGGCCUGGCUCUGUAUUAAUACCGCGUGCCGAGGCAGCUAAUUACCCCGCUGUUGCCAUGGCGACCUGCAGGGACGCGAAGUGCACGGCACGCUGGAAACAUCCAGCCAGCACGGCGCUUUGAAUGAAAUCUUUGUGUUCUCCUAGAGCUGAAAGUGCAUUUCACAUAAAAUAAUCAUGAAUAAAAUGAGAUCAUCUGA